rnacentral:rRNA from 1 species
GUAGGUGUGUGUUCCAGGUAAAUCCGGUUCACUUUAACACUGAGGCGUGAUGACGAGGCACUACGGUGCUGAAGCAACAAAUGCCCUGCUUCCAGGAAAAGCCUCUAAGCAUCAGGUAACAUCAAAUCGUACCCCAAACCGACACAGGUGGUCAGGUAGAGAAUACCAAGGCGCUUGAGAGAACUCGGGUGAAGGAACUAGGCAAAAUGGUGCCGUAACUUCGGGAGAAGGCACGCUGACACGUAGGUGAAGUGAUUUACUCAUGGAGCUGAAGUCAGUCGAAGAUACCAGCUGGCUGCAACUGUUUAUUAAAAACACAGCACUGUGCAAACACGAAAGUGGACGUAUACGGUGUGACGCCUGCCCGGUGCCGGAAGGUUAAUUGAUGGGGUCAGCGCAAGCGAAGCUCCUGAUCGAAGCCCCGGUAAACGGCGGCCGUAACUAUAACGGUCCUAAGGUAGCGAAAUUCCUUGUCGGGUAAGUUCCGACCUGCACGAAUGGCGUAAUGAUGGCCAGGCUGUCUCCACCCGAGACUCAGUGAAAUUGAACUCGCUGUGAAGAUGCAGUGUACCCGCGGCAAGACGGAAAGACCCCGUGAACCUUUACUAUAGCUUGACACUGAACAUUGAGCCUUGAUGUGUAGGAUAGGUGGGAGGCUUUGAAGUGUGGACGCCAGUCUGCAUGGAGCCGACCUUGAAAUACCACCCUUUAAUGUUUGAUGUUCUAACGUGGACCCGUGAUCCGGGUUGCGGACAGUGUCUGGUGGGUAGUUUGACUGGGGCGGUCUCCUCCUAAAGAGUAACGGAGGAGCACGAAGGUUGGCUAAUCCUGGUCGGACAUCAGGAGGUUAGUGCAAUGGCAUAAGCCAGCUUGACUGCGAGCGUGACGGCGCGAGCAGGUGCGAAAGCAGGUCAUAGUGAUCCGGUGGUUCUGAAUGGAAGGGCCAUCGCUCAACGGAUAAAAGGUACUCCGGGGAUAACAGGCUGAUACCGCCCAAGAGUUCAUAUCGACGGCGGUGUUUGGCACCUCGAUGUCGGCUCAUCACAUCCUGGGGCUGAAGUAGGUCCCAAGGGUAUGGCUGUUCGCCAUUUAAAGUGGUACGCGAGCUGGGUUUAGAACGUCGUGAGACAGUUCGGUCCCUAUCUGCCGUGGGCGCUGGAGAACUGAGGGGGGCUGCUCCUAGUACGAGAGGACCGGAGUGGACGCAUCACUGGUGUUCGGGUUGUCAUGCCAAUGGCACUGCCCGGUAGCUAAAUGCGGAAGAGAUAAGUGCUGAAAGCAUCUAAGCACGAAACUUGCCCCGAGAUGAGUUCUCCCUGAGACUUUAGGUCUCCUGAAGGAACGUUGAAGACGACGACGUUGAUAGGCCGGGUGUGUAAGCGCAGCGAUGCGUUGAGCUAACCGGUACUAAUGAACCGUGAGGCUUAACCUUACA